rnacentral:lncRNA from 1 species
CACUAUUUUUUGCAAAAUAAUAUUAAAAGCAAUAAAUUAAGCAGAAAUCAUGUAAAUAUUCAUUAAUAAUAUUAAUAUAAAAUGGACUAAAUUAUGCUCUAUCAAAUACCUCCACACUUAGCCUUUUGCUUGUCCUCAAGCAAAUAAUCAUAGUCAAAUAAGCUUUCUCACUCUAGAUUCUUAUUUCCACUUAAGCUCUUACUCUAGACACCUAUUUUGAAUCAUUGCAGUAAAGAAUAUAUGCAUGAAGAUUACUCAUCUAUUUUCCUUGUUUCCUUUUGCUUACCAUGGCUAGGAUUUGUUUUCCUCAAGAGAGACAUGCACAUUAAUUUGUUAAGACUUUUUUUAGCUUUUGGAUUGACUUGCCCUUACCUUGAAGUACUUUAUUCAGGCUUUUUGCACUUUAGAUCUUGCUUGGAAAGGUCACCAACCUAUUUUUGAUGUACACUUUUGGAUUUUUCAGUUGGUCACCUAUCGAAGUGGCUGGUAGCUCUUUUAUUAGAGCAUUUUUGUGCUUUUGAGAUCCUUGCCUUUGCUGAAUUUUCUUUCUCUCAAUGAUUUGGGCAAAUCAACACCAAUUGCUAAAUCAAGUCACAUUAAGUUCAUUCACACAACUUUAAUUUAUUCUCAAUCAAUUGAGGGUCAUCAGUAUAUUUUUCACCAUAGCAAACUCAAAGAUUCAAUUCAAAAGGCAAUUCUCAAACAUGAAUAUAACCCACUGCAAGUGAUUCAACAUAAGUUUAAAGAGUUUUCACAUCAAUGGGGUCAUGGAAAGAAAGACUCAUUCAACAUAGUUCAUCAGUUUUGA